ACUCCUACGGGAGGCAGCAGUGGGAAUAUUGGACAAUGGGGGCAACCCUGAUCCAGCCAUGCCGCGUGAGUGAAGAAGGCCCUAGGGUCGUAAAGCUCUUUCAACUGUGAAGAUAAUGACGGUAGCAGUAGAAGAAACCCGCUAGCUACCCGUGCCAGCAGCCGCGGUAAUACGGAGGGGUUAGCGUUGUUCGGAAUUACUGGGCGUAAAGCGCACGUAGGCGGACUAUUAAGUUAGAGGUGAAAUCCCAGGGCUCAACCCUGGAACUGCCUUUAAUACUGGUAGUCUUGAGUUCGAGAGAGGUGAGUGGAAUUCCGAGUGUAGAGGUGAAAUUCGUAGAUAUUCGGAGGAACACCAGUGGCGAAGGCGGCUCACUGGCUCGAUACUGACGCUGAGGUGCGAAAGUGUGGGGAGCAAACAGGAUUAGAUACCCUGGUAGGCUCUGC
rnacentral:rRNA from 1 species